rnacentral:rRNA from 1 species
AAAACAUUGUCUUAUGAACUAUAUAUUAGAUAAUACCUGCCCAGUGACACUUAACAGUUAAACGGCCGCGGUAUCCUAACCGUGCAAAGGUAGCAUAAUCACUUGCCUAUUAAUUGUAGGCUAGAAUGAACGGGUUAACGAAAUAAAAUCUGUCUCAGUUAAUUCACUAAAAAUUAUUCUCUAUCUGAAGAAAGGUAGAUAGUCUCGAAGGACAAGAAGACCCUAUAGAGCUUAAUAUUAACUAUAAAAUUUUAUUAUAAAUAUAUUCGGUUGGGGCGACCCAGGGAAAAAUAAUCACCCUCUAUAUAAAAGAUAAAUAAAUCAAAUAAUUGACCCUUUAAAGAUUACAAAACAAAGCUACCUUAGGGAUAACAGACUAAUCCCACUCAAGAGUCCUUAUCAACAGUGGGGUUUGGCACCUCGAUGUUGGCUUAGGGUAUCUAUAUAGCGCAAAAGUUGUAUAAAGAUGGUUUGUUCAACCAAUAAUUCCCUACGUGAUCU